GUUUUAUAGAGGAGAAAGCUGAUUAUAAUGGUAAAUGAAAUCAGCUAGCAUGAACUGAUUUGUGUUUAUUUAAUUACAAUUAUCAUGCUGAUGACUCUACAUAUUAAGUCUCCACCUAUAGUCCCCUAGGUGCUAAUUUUAAAAACAUGAGUUUUCAUUAAAAAUAAGAAAAGAAACCCCUCCAUAUGCAUUUCAAUAAUUCAAAUUGUAUCGUAAUUUGACUAUUAACACAAAGGAAAAUCAAUGCAACUAAUUCAGAUUUAAAUUUAAGAUUACACAGUGCAAAAGAGGAAAUAGUCUUGGAAAGGGAAGUAGAAAAAUGUAAGAUCCCUCUUAGAGGUCAGAAAAAAUAAAUUCAAAAAUGUGAUUUUUUUUUAAAGGUAGUGUUAACUUGAAGUGGAAAACAAAAAGCAAAAAACCUUUGAAGCAAAGUCAGUUGUGUUUACAAGGGCCUUUGGGUUUUUUUGAUGUUUUAGUGCUUCUGGUUUUUAAAAUGUUGAUUUGUGG
rnacentral:lncRNA from 1 species